GACGAACGCUGGCGGCAUGCCUAACACAUGCAAGUCGAACGAGACAGUCGGGUAUUUUGGCGCACGGGUUGGUAAGCGGUGGGAUCCUUCACGUGUGUUCGGACUAACUCUCCGAGAGGGGCGCUAAUACCGGAUAAUGUCUUCGGACCAAAGAUUAAUAGCCUUUGGAUGGGCCCGCGUUGGAUUAGCUAGUUGGUAGCUAAAAGGCCUUCCAAGGUGACGAUCCAUAGUUGGUCUGAGAGGCGGAUCAGCCACACUGGGACUGAGACACGACCCAGACUCCUGCGGGAGGCGGCAGUGGGGAAGAUUGGAGCAUGGGCGGAAGCCUGCGCCAGCGAUGCCGAGAGAGUUAUGAAGGGCUUAGAAUGGUAAAGCGAUUUUACCGGGGAUGAUGAGAAGAGAACCGGGAAAAUAGGCACGGGCUACCACGGG
rnacentral:rRNA from 1 species